AAACCAGCUCUUCAAGUGGUCGGGACUUUAUUGGGCUUAAAGUGUCCGUAGCCGGUUUAGUAAGUUCCUGGUUAAAUCAGAUAGCUUAACUAUUUGUCAGCUAGGAAAACUACUAUACUAGGGGGCGGGAGAGGUCUGAGGUACUCCAGGGGUAGCGGUGAAAUGCUAUAAUCCUUGGGGGACCACCAGUGGCGAAGGCGUCAGACUGGAACGCGCCCGACGGUGAGGGACGAAAGCCAGGGGAGC
rnacentral:rRNA from 1 species